CGUCGAGGAGGUCGCCGGAUUGAGAUCAGACUUCGUCGAGGAAGUAGUAUUCGACAUUUCGGUGGAACAAGAGCUGAGAGACGUAAAUGUAGGAUUCUAUUUUUUAAUUUUUUUUUAUUAAAAAUGAAAAUGUAAUUUUAAAUUAAAAGGUUGAAUGAAAAUGUUAAUUAUAAUAUCCAGAUCAGCAAAGUCAUCGUCCGCCAAAUAAUUAGAAAUUUGACAUGUCAGAAAGAUUUUACCUCAUGAAUUCUUUUAAAAGUUUUGAGAUUUUGCAGUGAUAUAAAUAAAUAAAAUUCACUUCAUGGACUUUUUUUGUGAAAACAAUUUUUUUAUUUUAUUUUACGGUGAUCAAAAUCAAAAGUGACAUUUUUUUUUUGACGAUAUAUUUUUAGGGACCAAAAACAAUAUAGAUGCCUACGCAUAAUAUAUACAGGGACGGAUCCAGAAAUUAUUUACACGGAGGGCCUAAUUUCUUUUUGUAAUAAUAAAUAAUAGAGUUAAAUAUAUUUUUUGUCCUUAUAAAAUAACAAGUUUUUAUGUUUAGUCUUAUUAAAUUUUAACUGAAAACAUCCUCUAAAAUCUUGUAGUUUGAUAAGAAUAGUCUCUAUUUUUAAAUAUUUUUACAAAAAAUUGACUCUUAAUUUUAUAAAGACAAAAAAUAUAUUUAACUCAAAAUUAUAAGAUAUAAAAUCACAAAAAUUUAUUUAGAAGCACCUAAAACAAAAGUGUGUAAAGUGUCAUUAGCAACUCAUAUAUGCAUCGGGAGGGGGUUGGAGCCCUUGCUUACCCCCGGGUCCGUCCCUGAAUAUAUACACAUAAAAUAUAAAUGUCAAUUAUCUAUAAAAGAAUCCAUGAGACCAGACAUUAGCAAGAUCCUUAGUUUAACACCCCGUUCUAAUGUUGAAGAAUUCUUCUUUUCGGUGAUGAUUUCCAUUGGNNNUUGUAGUAAUUUUUUUUCACUUCCAAGAAUAUGUUCCCAUGAACUGGAUUUACCAUAUCCUAAGAUCUAGUUUACGUGAGGUUUUUGGGCCAAUAAAAAUAAGAAAGUCCAAAAAGAUAAUUUUUUGUUAGCUUAAAUGCAGUUUUACUCUCUCUGUUUUGAUUAAAUCGAAAUUUUAUCCCAUAUUUAAAAACGCGGACUUUUAACCCCCUGUUUUAUAAUUUUUUGGAUUUUGCCCCCCUAAAAUUCUGCUUUCGAGUCACACCUUAAAAGCUUCCCACACAACUCAAUUUGGAUCAAUAAUUCACCAAACGUAUACUGAAAUGACCGUAAUCGAGUUAUCUUUCCACAUAAUCAAACCCCACUAAAUUUGGAGUAACAAAGAGAGAUUAAUUACCGUUUUAGUGAAGGUAUGUCCCCCAAAUUCUGAACAAAAUCUGCUUUCGAGUCA
rnacentral:lncRNA from 1 species